rnacentral:rRNA from 1 species
CUUGCACAAUGGAGGAAACUCUGAUGCAGCGACGCCGCGUGAGCGAAGAAGCCUUUCGGGGUGUAAAGCUCUUACGCCAGGGACGAUAAUGACGGUACCUGGAGAAGCAGCUGCGGCUAACUACGUGCCAGCAGCCGCGGUAAUACGUAGGCAGCAAGCGUUGUUCGGAAUUACUGGGCGUAAAGGGUGCGUAGGCGGCGCUCUAAGUUUGGUGUGAAAUCUCCCGGCUUAACUGGGAGGGUGCACUGAAGACUGGGGCGCUCGAGUAUGUGAGAGGAUAGCGGAAUUCCUGGUGUAGCGGUGAAAUGCGUAGAGAUCAGGAGGAACACCUGCGGUGCGGACGGCUUUCUGGACCAUCACUGCCGCUGAGGCACGAAAGCGUGGGUAGCAAACA